CUGGCGACGCGAGGAGACGACACGGCCGGCGACACGAGGCGGCCGGCGACGCGAGGAGACGACGCGGCCGCUCAUCGAUGUCGACGACGACCUCUUCCCAUCCGACGUCCUUCUCGCCGAUUGUACCAGCAGUUUCUAGGAUUGGUGAAGACGAGCCGCCUCCUUCCUGGGACUUUGUUUUGACUCCGAAAGGUCCUACAUUGGGUACAAAGGGCAGUUCAUCAAUCACAUUUUGGCUGUGUUCUACUCUUCAAAAGAAGUUGGCUGUUUAGUUGGAAAUUUAGCAGGUUUCUAGUGUUGUUCUGCACUGCUGUUUACACUUGAUUUCUUUGUGUACAUGUUGUUGGGAGGAAUCAGUGGUGGACUAGAGUGAUACAUUCUCAUGUGGAAUUUUAGGAAGAGAAUUUUCUUUUACAGUAUCAAUGUGGUGCAUUGGCAUGUGCACUGUCAGUGAAUUAUUCUAGUAUUGGCUUUGUUCUCUAGUCAUAUGUGAUUGGGGAAUUUGGCUUAUAAGCCAUGCCUGCAUACACCUUGUUUCUGUUCUAUAGUCAUAUGUU